rnacentral:lncRNA from 1 species
GUAGUUCGGCCGGGUCCACAAUGUAAACAGUGCGGGCAGAGUGCCUCGGAACGCUCACCCAGCUUCCUCGACGAUUUCUGAAGAGAUCUGAGAAGGGAGUGGGCCGCCACGGUUUAAUGACUCGGGAUGGAGCGUGUGUUUGUGUCAGCGGCCAACAUAAUGCUAGGCGUCGUCUUAUGAAGGUUUCAGGAUUCCGAAAGCGUUUAGUCAACUCUUCCUCAAACAGUAGGGCUUGUUUUUAUUACCGUACUAACGUAUGAUUGAUUUAUGCCCUACCACUUCUAGAAGAUAUUCAAAAUUAUUUUCAAUGGUCGAUUGCAAACGACUUAAGCAUUGUGUCUGUUUACCCAGAGGGAAUGAUUUGCUACGAGUGAGCUUUCCUAUUGAACCAGAACAAGGAACUAUAGGAGCUGGUGUGCAGAGGAAAAAAAAAUGGUUUCUUCGUGUUCAGUUGUAAGAGGAUUGUAUCUGUCACACUCUUUAGUUCAAAACUUAAUACACGUCAAAGUAAAUUCGGAAGCUUUAGUUUAGACCUUGGAGGAAGCUUAUUGUUCUUGCCUUUAGACCACAAUCGGUCUCAUAGCCAAGAAGCUAAAAUGUGAUGUUGAGCGAUUGGAGGGAAGCAGACAUGGAAAACUCUUCAACGAGGAAAAGCACUAGAGAGGUUAAAACAAGAGGAUCUUGCAUGUACCAGAUCAGCCUGGUGUACAUCGCGAGCCAGGCCAGCCUUGGCUAUACAGAGUGUAAAACCAUGUCUCAGAAAAAAAGAAACGAAAGAAAGAAAGGGAGAGAGAGAGAAAGACAAAGACUUGGCUACUAAGACUGAGAAAGACAAUUGUACCUUUCCCAUCAGAAAACAAAUGCAGGCAUUUGGGAAUUAUAAAUGUGGCCCAAGGCUGGAAAUAUAGCUCAGUGGUAAAGCUAUAGCCACUCCAAAAGCCUCGAUUCCAUCAAUAACUUAAGGGGGGGGGGGGUGCGGGGGGAAGGAUCCAUAAUAAAUAGGGCAAAAAGAGAAGUUUUUUUUUCAGGCUGAAUAUAAGGUAUCCCCUAAGGAAGACAGACUUAAGAUAGACCAUUAUCUUACCAGGUAUGGGGGCUCACACCUUAAUUCCUAGCACGUGGGAACUGGUAUAGGACGGCUGCAGUGAGUUCAUGGCCAACGUGGGCCACAAGAUGAGUUCCAGGUCAGCCAGGGCUAAAAUGAGACCCUGCUUCAACAAAGGAAAACAAAACCCCCUCUCAAAUCUUUCCUGCAGAGCUUUCUUUUAAGGAUGCUUCUUUGAUCAAAGCUUCUGUCUCCAGGAACAGGGUUUUUAAGAGAGCCCGCCAUUUCCCCUCCUACCUCUCAGCUUGGCCUCUUGAACUGAUCUCACUGUCAAUCACUACAUGCAAUUUCUGAUGCUUCUAUAAUGAUGAAACAAACCACCUUAUUUCCUCAAAAUGCCCACCCACACCUUCUCAGCUAAUGAGGAUCUUUGCCACUCUCCCUACCCUCAAAGGGACAUUCCUGAGUCCCACUGCCCAACUGGCUUCACCCUUAUCCUUACCUAAAUGGCAUCACCAAAUGUUUCAAAGCAGAUUUGUUUUUUCCAGAUCUCUUUCCCUGGCUAUGCCCUUGUUGAUUUGUACAGGUUGUCUCUUGAUUGGCUAUUCACACAUCACAGAGAACUCAGCAAUGUUCAGUAUCUCCCCAUAUCAGCUAUGAAUCUUCAAAAUCAAAAUCUCCCUUCUGGUGUUGAGUAUUUGUUUUUGCAGCACUAGAGACUGAAUUUAGGGCCCUGUAGAUGCUUAGGCAAGCCUCCUCCUACAUCUCUGCCAUGGUAGAGGAUAGCUUUGUGGAAUCUAUUCUCUCUUUCCAUUAUGCGGGUCUGAGAGUUGAAGUCAGAGCAUCAGUCAGAGCCUCCCCUUUCCAUGCUGAGCCAGCCAGCACACAUGCCCAGUGUCUCCAUUCUUAAGGUGUUACAGUUUUCCACAGAGGGGAAGUCCUGCAUCUUCUACAGCAACAAACGACAUUUCCUUCUACCCUACCGCAUACCAGUCACUGUGACCAACUCUGCCCUGUGGUAUAGCCAGUUUAAUAAAGUCAUCUCUGAAACUUGAUGACAGGAAGACAUUAUAUUGAGUAAUAUUCAUAAUCCAGCUGAGGCUUCAAUGACAUGUUGACAGGUUGCUGACAUAAUGACAAUGAACUUGCUCCUAGAGCGAACUUAGCCACCUUUGUAAAAGUCAAGUCAAUAGCCAAUGAAAAUGGAAGAUGUAUCUAAAAUUCUAAAGCCAUAAGCAAAUGGUAGGGCAACUCCUAAUUCAAAAUAAAACGAAAACUCUAUAUACCAUUGUUCAUGUAAACCAUUGUUCAUGUAGACGGUUUGAAGUUGGAUUCAGUGUUCCUCCUAUGAAGAAAAGUUGUUUUCUGCUCAGAA